rnacentral:lncRNA from 1 species
AGAGGAAGAAGACUGAGCUCAAACAACAAUGGCGUUACCGGCCUCAUUAAGCCUUGCAGUUCUUUCUCUUCUUCUCACAGCCAACUCCGCCAUCAGCUCUCUCGACGCCACGCAUGAAAGCUUCAUCCAGUGCUUCCUUGACCACACUCGUCCCUCUAACUCGUCCUCCCAACUCGUGUACUCGCCUAACACCACCACCUACGAUGCCGUCCUCCGAUCAUCCAUCCAAAACAUCCGCUUCCUCUACUCGUCGAGCACGACGAAGCCCGUCCUCAUCGUGACCGCGACCAACGAGUCGCACGUCCAGGCCGCCGUCGUCUGUAGCAGGAAGCACGGCCUCCGCGUCCGGGUCCGAAGCGGCGGCCACGACUACGAGGGCAUGUCGUACGUGUCGGAAGGCGAUCGGUUCAUUAUCGUCGACCUCGCUGCUCUCCGGUCCAUCACGGUCGAUGCCGAGCACGGCACGGCCUGGGUUCAGGCGGGUGCAACGCUCGGAGAGGUCUACUACACCAUCGCGGAGAAGAACAGGACCGUCGGGUUCUCGGCCGGUAUCUGCCCAACGGUCGGUGUCGGCGGCCACUUCAGCGGCGGCGGGAUAGGCACCCUGUCGAGGAAGUACGGCACCGCGGCUGACAACAUCGUGGAUGCCCGGUUGGUGGACGUCAACGGAAGGAUUCUGACCCGGAAAUCCAUGGGCGAGGACUACUUCUGGGCCAUCAGAGGCGGCGGCGCAGCAAGCUUCGGCAUCGUCCUCUCAUACAAGAUCGAGUUGAACUACGUUCCGCCCGUCGUCACCGCAUUCAACGUGAUCAAGACCUUAAAGCAAGACGCCACAAAGCUGGUCACCAAGUGGCAGCAGAUCGGCCCCAACCUCGACGAGAACCUGUACAUACGGGUCAUCGCGCAAGCCAUGGACGACGACGAAGCAGAGGGGAACCGGACCAUCCAAGCCGUGUUCAACUCCCUCUACUUGGGAACGUGCAAAGAGCUCCUCACCGUGAUGGGGAGCAGCUUCCCCGAGUUGGGGUUCGAGGCGGCAGACUGCAACGAGAUGAGUUGGUUGGAGUCCGUUCUGUUUUUCGCAGGCUACUCCGGCAGACCGAGCGAGAUCUUGUUGGAUAGGAGGCCGGAGUUCAACAGCUCCUUCAAGGCGAAGUCGGACUUCGUGAGAGAACCUGUGACAGAGACAGCAUGGGAAGAGAUAUGGAGGUUUCUGAUGGAAGCGAAGGAUGAACCCUUGGUACUGAUCAUGGAGCCCUUCGGUGGGGUUCUGGAUGAGAUAGCAGAGUCGGCGACUCCCUUCCCAUACAGGAAAGGGUAUCUGUACAUCAUCCAGUACUUCAUGAGGUGGUUUGAGACGGACAUGGAGACAACGGAGAGGCAUCUGAAUUGGAUGAGGAAGCUGUAUGCCUUGAUGACUCCGUACGUCUCUAAGAACCCGAGGGCAGCCUAUCUCAACUACAAGGAUAUCGACCUGGGAAGAACUUACAGGGUUUGGGGUCCCAAGUACUUCAACAACAACUUCAAGAGGUUGGCGAACGUGAAGAGCAAGGUUGACCCACACAACUUCUUCAGGAAUGAACAAAGCAUUCCGCCUAUCAUGUCGCUCUAAGGAUACGUCUUCACGUAUACAUCUAUGAGCUUCAUUAUGUUGUAUUGAUAUAAUAAUUCCAUCGUAGAGAUGUAAGAGUAUGCAUGAUGUGCUACGAUUAGGUUGUAUAAGCAAUAAAUCAUGAAAUAAAGGUCAGCGAGUUCAUGCCAAUGAACAACAACAAUAGACUCGACGAUGACAUAGAGAGAGAGAGAGAGAGAGAGCAUCCUGCGGUGUCACUUGAGCUCGAGUCAUAGUAAUGUUCAGCUGGUAUCGACAUUGUCAGCAUGCCCAAAGAAGUCCAAUGCCAUGUACUUGCAGUAUAAGAAACCAUGUUUGAAGUUUAGACUGACCAUCCAGAAGCAAAAUUUUGACUGCAUAACGAGACAUGCCCCCAAAAGAUUGCCUGGAUGACUCUACCACAUAUUCCAUCUCCAUAUCUAAAGCCAAGAAGAAGGUCAUCUGCCAAGGAAGAGCAACCAUAAAGGAAAGAAUCUGAACAUAAUACCAAGUGGAGAUAUGCAUGAUGGCCCAGAAAUUAGAUGUUUAGAAAUCCUUCCCGUAGCAGCUUGACUGAAGGCAGGAACUAAGCAUGGCGAAACCAACAAAAAAGCAUUAGAAAGAUUGAUCAGAAAAUGUAACAAGGUGGAAGGCAACAUAAGCCUUGGUCAAAGUACUUGAAAUGUAAAUUACCCAACAGAUUAAAUUCCUUGAUGCAACUUAGCAUGAAUCAUAAAAUCAAUACCCAUGAUGACACCACAAAGAAACAAAUUCUAUUUAAGCAGAUAAGAUAAUUCCUGGCUACACACAACAAAGAUAUAUAUAAAAAAAGAUUCUAUCAGUUGAACUUCCAAGUAAAUAUCAACUUAGGCUGGAUCAUAUAAUCAGUACCCAAAAAUUACCAUGCAAUCAUGAUGAUGCUACAAAGAAAAAAAAAUAUACUAAGCAGACAAGAUAAUUCCAAGGAAAUAUAUUUUUAUUUUUAUAUUUAUUUAAUAUAGAUUAUUUCUAUUUAAUAUAUUAACAAAUAUGAUCUCAUCCUAUUUGGAAUGCUUAAUAGUUAUUUCCUAAUUUACAACGGCAAGUAAGAAAAAUAAAAUUUAAAUCCUGUUAGUGUAAACAACCUUUAAGUCGUGGCCUUGGGACCGAGGCGACUUGAUUCGGGUCCGAAUGAUAGGGAUUUUCCCAAGACGGCCUUUGAGUCCGCCGAGGUGGUCGACCGCGGUGGUCGAGACGAUGUCGUAGUCCACUCCGAGCAAGAAUUCGCCUUCGAGUUUCGUAGGGACCAUCGGCAUCGCCCCUGCACAAAGGUCGAGUCGGGGUGCUCGGCUCGACCCCUCCGACGAUCAAGUUAGUCGAUGUAAAGGGGAAGUCAGACGGAGAAGUUCUCCCCCCCUUUCCUCUUUGGAAUAUGAGGGUACUUACAGGGAAGCUUACUAUUUCCUAACGUGCCCGCUUGCAGGGGGCAGGGUGAUGACGUCUGAUACUGGUGUUGGCGUGGCGUGAAGAAUCGAGCCUGAGCAAGCGUAAAUGCGCCUCGGCCGACGUUCUGGUCCGUUUGACCAGGUGAUGUCACGUCGAUCGAGGCGUGAGGCGUCAUUAGACGUCAGCCGAGUCUCAUCAUAAUUACUAUCCUCAUCAAAUCCCAAUCUUAAAUAUUUGAUUUGAUUACAGAUUGAUUAUAGACAGAAGGAUAACAUUAAUAAUAUAUAACUGUCAUUACUCAUAACGAGACUUAAUAUUAUAUUAUUAUAUUUUUGAAACUUAUUCACUUAUUUUAUAAAAUUUAUACGCACAUGUAAAAUAUUUUUUCAAAAAAUUCAGAAUCCAAUUAAGUAAAUUAUUUUUAAAUAUAUUUUUUAUUUUACUUAUUUUGAUUUAAAAGUUUUUUAUGCCUUACGAAUUAAUAAGCCAACUUGGAGAAUGUUAUGUUAUGUGAUCCUAUCUUAAUAUAUUAUAAAUCUGAUUGAUUCUGAUUAAUAUAAAAAAAUUCAAAUAUAGUAUGAUUUAUUAGGAGAUUAACUUGAUGGGAGCAGUCCUUCCCUAUAAAUAAACAAGAAUUUUAGAGCUGAGAUAUUAUAGAUUUUUUCUUUUCUAUCUUUAGUGAAAAAUUAGUGGUGGUCGGAGAUGACAGACUAACAAUCGCUGUAAGUUUCAAAUCCAUAUCAAAGAUUUUCUAAAUAAAGUAUGCAAUUCUAUUUUUAAUUUUUGAUUUUAGUAUUUUUUUAGAACAGAUGCAUAAUUAUAGUUUUAUGCUUACACUCGUAUCUUUCCCUUGUAUAAAACUACAACCCAUGGCGAGAUCUCAUCAGCAGAAGACGAAGAAGAGUGAGCCCAAACAACAAUGGCGUUAUCAGCCUCAGCAAGUCUUGCAGUUCUUUCUCUUCUUCUUACAGCCACCUCCGCUAUCAGCUCUCUCAACGCCACCCAUGAAGGCUUCAUGAAGUGCUUCCUUGACCAAACUGGUACCUCCAACUCAUCCUCCCAACUCUUGUACUCCCCCAACACCACAGCCUACGACGCCAUCCUCCGAUCAUCCAUCCAAAACAUCCGCUUCAUCUACUCGUCGAGCACGACGAAGCCCGUCCUCAUCGUGACCGCGACCAACGAGUCGCACGUCCAGGCCGCCGUCGUCUGUAGCAGGACGCACGGC